rnacentral:lncRNA from 1 species
CACUUCCUUCCUCCGGUCCCUAAUCUGAGGACUGCUGGAUUGCAGACUUGGCAAGUCCACCAUCCCCGCGGACGACGUUUGAAAGGCGGACUGAGGGUGGAGGAGGUCGCGGGGAAAGCGGACCGAAGGGAAAGAAAAAUCAGAAAGACCAUUAGGAUCUGUCCGGGUGCCUGAACUCUUCCUCCUUCCCUAAAGGACCCUACCAAGCCGGUGGCGGCGAGGACGCAAACACCAUUGAGGGGGCUUCCGUGGGUCCGCGGUCUCGCGCUCCGCCGUGCAGAACGAACUGUUAGUGGGCGCUACUGAUCGCGCCGCGCUCGCGGCCUCGCCCCAUUCACACGGCCCCGCGUAAUGAAUUCGUCCAUUUAAAUACAUUACAGGAAUAUUGGAGAUUGCGGAGGACGUGACACUUGACCCUGCAACCCGAACCCCGCAGGGGCAGCCGCCGCCUUGCAAAGUAGCAGUCCCCGAGCAGCGCCGCGCGGCGGUGGCCGGCCAAGCCCUCCGGGAGCUCUCCGGGUCCCCUUCCUCGCCCCCACCCCCGCCUUGCUCGCAGCUUGCCUCUGUCGACCCCUUCCCGCAGCCGCGUUUCAAUCAAACUCACUGAGACGGCACCGAGCGGGCGCCGGGGACAAGAAACGCCUCGCCAGCGACAACGCGCGAACAAGCGGAGCCGCGGGCCCCGGCGCCUCCGCCCACACGCGCCCCGCGUGCUGAAACCCGCACCUGGCCCACGGGUAGCCGGAAAAGCCGGGUCCCGGCCCGCCCGCCGGGCCGCCCCUGCUCCCGCUCCCCCAGCUCCAAGCGCUGCGGCUCAGAAACCCACCCGCCCGGCCCAGCCCCCGCCGGAGCCCUGCACCUUGGGGAGCCGGAGGCUGGGGAGGGGACCAGAGAAGGGGAAGAAGGGGCAUCGCCCUUCUUCCUACCCUGGGACAGCGCCUGGACUGGAGCUGGGUGCCGAGGAAACGACGGGAAGAGCUGACAGAGAGGCGGAGGGAGAAAAGAAAGGAAAAGAGGCAGAGACGAGGAAGGGAAGAAAGGGAUCCGAAGUGACCCGCCCUCGGGCCUCCGCGCCGGUGAUGCCCCGCGCCCAGGGCGAGGCCGUGCUUCGCGGGCAUGAGAAGCCAGGAGGCAGCGGAGUGCGGGUCUGGGGCACCGGGGACAUUGCCAAACAUAAUUGGGGUGCCAAACUGGGCUUCUUAAUCUCGAAGCCAGGAUGGGCGGGUGUGGCCGGGGGUGCGCGGGGUCAGCCAGCUUGGGGUGCUUUCCUUCGGGGCUCACACCGGCAGCGCGGACCGGCCGAGGCCGCUGGGACUGCAAGUCCGCCGCCUGCUUUUGUUCUGGGUUCUGCUGUAAUUUAACAUAAAACGCCUGUUAGAAUCACUGCUGCCGAAACACGCGUUUCUCCUUGUUUUGCCACCAACUAACAGGAUUAGGCAACAAGAGCGAGAUUUCAAAUUAACCAUAAAAAUGACAAAUUGCAAUUCAUUUAGCUGCCCACUUACUACAUUAAAAAAC